UUAAUGUCAAACACAGUCUUGGACAAUUUAGUAUAUUCAAUUCACCUCACUUGCAUGUCUUUGGACUGUAGGAGGAAACCGGAGCACUUAGUGGAAACCCACACAGACACAGAGAGAACAUGCAAACUCCACACAGAAAGGACCCGGACCUCCCCACCUGGGGAUCGAACCCUGGGGAUCUUGCUGUGAGGCGACAGUGCAACCCACCGAGCCACUGUGCAGCCACCUGCUAUAGCUGGAGGAAACCGGAGCACUUAGAGGAAACCCACACAGACACAGGAGGAACAUGCAAACUCCACACAGAAAGGACCCGGACCUCCCCACCUGGGGAUCGAACCCUGGGGAUCUUGCUGUGAGGCGACAGUGCUACCCACCGAGCCAGCAUGCCUCCCACUGCUAUAGCUGGUAACUCAUUCUACUAGUCAGGUGGCGCAGCGGUAAAAUACACUAGAACACCAGAGCUGGGAUUUCGAACACAUCAUAUUGAAUCUCAGCUCUGCCAUCCGACUGGGCUGGGAGGCCACAUGAACAAUGACUGGCUGUUGUUCAGGGAUGGGACAAGUUGGACCAGGGUUCGACCUCCGCUGGCUGAUUGAUGGCGUCUGCACAGAGUUGAGGAAUAAUGCUGACCAGGGUGUGUGUCUCUCUGUGCACAAGGCUGAUCCACAUAUGAACUUGCCUCGUGCAGGUGAAAACAGGCAGUCGGUACUGCACAUGUGUCGGAGGGGGCGUGUGUCAGUUGCAAAGCUCCUCAGUCAUGAGUGGAGGGUUGUAUCAGUAGAGGUGAAGCGUAACGCAACCAGGGUAAUUGGAUACGACUAGAUUAGGAGAGAGGAGAAAAAAAUUCUCCUUAUUUAAAAUAUAGAAAAAGAAAAACUUAGUGCAACUCAAAUCUAUUCUACUGUAAUUUUGCAUUUGAAACUUUGUUUACUUUAUUUCCUGCUUUAUUAAUCCUGAAAAAAUUCCAAAUCAGACAUUCCUAAAAAGUUCAUAAUGCACUUAGAACACACAAGUGAAAGCUCAAACAGCAGCUUCAGUAAUUCUCUGCCAAAGACUUAACCAGAUCUAUGAACCAUUUAAAGCUCCAGCCUACAGGAAAGAGUGUAAUUGUGUGUGCACAAUAAAAAGGUCAGUCAGUAAGUAAGUGAGGGGGAGGAAAAGAACAAUAGUGUCAAUAGAUUCUUGUUUGAAAAGUUUUUUUCAAAUAUAUGCCUUUUUCAUAUUUACAAGUGUAAGUAUGUAUUAUGGUGGCUGAGUUGCUUUAAUCAAAAAACAAUAAAAAGUCAGCAAUACAGUUAAUGGUUUGGUUUGCACACACCUAUUAAAAUACCAUUUGCUCUGGAGUAGCAAG